CCUACGGGUGGCUGCAGUGGGGAAUAUUGCACAAUGGGCGAAAGCCUGAUGCAGCAACGCUGCGUGAAGGAAGAAGGUUUUCGGCUCGUAAACUUCUAUCAACAGGGACGAAAGAAGUGACGGUACCUUAAUAAUAAGCCCCGGCUAACUACGUGCCAGCAGCCGCGGUAAUACGGAGGGGGCAAGCGUUAUCCGGAAUUACUGGGUGUAAAGGGUGAGUAGGUGGCAUGGUAAGCCGGAUGUGAAAUCCUUGGGCUUAACCCGGGGAUUGCAUUUGGAACUACCAAGCUGGAGUGCAGGAGAGGAAAGCGGAAUUCCUAGUGUAGCGGUGAAAUGCGUAGAUAUUAGGAAGAACACCAGUGGCGAAGGCGGCUUGCUGGACUGAAACUGACGCUGAGGCACGAAAGCGUGGGGAGCGAACAGGAUUAGAUACCCCAGUAGUC
rnacentral:rRNA from 1 species